GACGAACGCUGGCGGCGUGCUUAACACAUGCAAGUCGAACGGAAAGGCCCUGCUUUUGUGGGUGCUCGAGUGGCGAACGGGUGAGUAACACGUGAGUAACCUGCCCUUGACUUUGGGAUAACUUCAGGAAACUGGGGCUAAUACUGGAUAGGAGCUCCUGCUGCAUGGUGGGGGUUGGAAAGUUUCGGCGGUUGGGGAUGGACUCGCGGCUUAUCAGCUUGUUGGUGGGGUAGUGGCUUACCAAGGCUUUGACGGGUAGCCGGCCUGAGAGGGUGACCGGCCACAUUGGGACUGAGAUACGGCCCAGACUCCUACGGGAGGCAGCAGUGGGGAAUAUUGCACAAUGGGCGGAAGCCUGAUGCAGCAACGCCGCGUGCGGGAUGACGGCCUUCGGGUUGUAAACCGCUUUCGCCUGUGACGAAGCGUGAGUGACGGUAAUGGGUAAAGAAGCACCGGCUAACUACGUG
rnacentral:rRNA from 1 species